GAAGGUAUUCGUAAGCUCGGAUUUGACUGCUAAAAUAUUUUAGAAUAUCUAGAACGUAUUAACCUGAAUUGAUAGCUAUCCUACUUAGUUACAAUUUAUUUCAAAAUUCAAUCACAGUGAUAUUAAUUAAUUUUAAAUAAAAAAGUUCAUUCAUCUACCACGAUAAAAUACCUUGAAUUUUUUCAAAGUUAGAUUAAAAACAGUGAAAAAUCAUUCGAAAUUACAAUUUGUAAAAAUCGGUUGGUGAAACCAGGUUCGUUCGUGCACAAUUCAGAAUUUGCUUCUUCUUUAUAAUUGCUUUGGGAUUUUAAAGAUGAAGAAAAUUUUUGAAAAAUGCUCAAAUCAAUUGCUUUAAAAGUUGAAUGCUCAGAAAGAAAUAUGAAGACUUACAAAAAGACCUCAUUCUUGAGCAUAAUUCGAUUUAAGUACCUAUCACAUCGGAAUUGUUUUAACAUCUGCAGAUGGAAGUUUCAAGACUAUGAUAUUAUUUUUCGUCAGUUUUUAGUAUCUAUCGAUUUCAAGUAACCCAACAUCUAGAGUCACUUUCACAUUCCAUGCAGCCAAACUCAAAGCAUCUAUUAAUGAAAUAAGGAGCAUAUAUACAACUAGAUACACUUCGUCCUUUAAAUCAACAACUUCCAUAAUAAAUCGGUUUGUUCCAUUGAGAUUUAUGAGCGAAAGAAGCGGACUACAAAACUACAGUGACGAGUUCAGCAGAAGACGGAAAACGAUGAAAUCGGAAAUCAAUAACAAUAUUUUCAUCGAGAGGCAGAAAAUGAUCUCAUGAAUUCGAACUAAAGUCUGAACAGAUAUUUUCCGAAAUUCACAAUGAACGUUUUUUCAGGGUGUUUGUUAAUAAGAAGACUGAGGUAUGGAACACCCACGUCAUCCAAAAAAAUCACUUAGCCUAUAAAAUUCACAUGAAACAGAUAAAAUAUAUCGUUCAGUUACGCUAAAUGAUAUGUUUUAUCCGUUUCAUGUUAAUUUUAUAAAUUAUUUUUUGAAAAUUAGUUCUGACCUUGCUGAUUAAAUAAAUCAACCACACUUGUAUGCAAAAUUGAACGUAUUUUUGGGAAUCGAUAUGCCCUGGAACGUGAUUCGUAAUUUAAUAAUACAUAUUUUAGUCUGUCAUCAAUUUUAGAGUAAAAAUUUAUCGAAAAGUAUACAAAAUAAAAUAAAACACUUUCAAAAAC